rnacentral:rRNA from 1 species
ACCCGCUGAAUUUAAGCAUAUAAGUAAGCGGUGGAAAAUGAACCAAAUGGGAUUCCUUUAGUAAUUGCGAAUGAACAAGGAUGUGCUCAGCUUGACAAAUGGAGUUUCUGAGCUUUGAAUUGUAAUUUUGCAAUGCAUCACCAGCGGAGGUACAGUUGCAAGCCUUUUGAAAGACAGCGCCAUUGAGGGUGAAAUUCCUUUUUGUCUUCUGCAACCUUUGUGCACGGUAUGUAUUUGGUGAAUCACAUUCCUCGGCAUUGGAAUGCAAAUUGGGUGGUAAAUUUCACGCAAGGGAAAAUAUAUUAUUGAGUCUGAUAAUGAACAAGUACCAUGAGGGAAAUAUGCAAAGGACUUUGAAAAGAAAAUUAAAAGAGCUUGCAUUUGCUAAACAGAAAACUAGCAGAAGUGCUUUAUCUUGGUAAGAUUGCUGCGCAUGGGUUUACUGUGUAAAUUGUAUGAGCAUUGGUUCUUACUUUGUGUGUCAAUUCCAUUGUCAAUUUUAAUAUCUUUGCUCAUGAAUUGUGAAAUGCUUGCGGGUGUUAGAUUGCAUGUGCAUUCAUUAAUUUGGACUUGGUGCAGUGCUUGGCAACAGCUUGCAUGUAGAGUGUGCGUGCAAUGUACAAUUGCGAUUGUCAGCUGUUGCCAACCACUUUUGUUGGCAAUGUGAUUCUGCUUGACCCGUCUUGAAACACGGACCAAGGAGUCUAACAGAUGUGCAAGUUCUGGGGUGUGCACACCCUGUAGCUUAAUGAAUGUGUUUGCUGGGAUAUGUGCACCAGCAGCUGACUGAUUAACAGACAGAGGUUUGAGUUUGAGCAUAUCUAUUAGGACCCGAAAGAUGGUGGACUAUGCCUGCACAGAACGAAUCCAGAGGAAACUCUGGUGGAGGUUCGUAUUGAUACUGACGUGCAAAUCGUUCGUCAUACUUGGGUAUAGGGGCGAAAGACUAAUCGAACCAUCUAGUAGCUGGUUCCUUCCGAAGUUUCCCUCAGGAUAACUGGAAUUGCACAGUUUUAUCAGGUAAAGCGAAUGAUUGGAGGAAUUGGGGACAUGCUGUCCUUGACCUAUUCUCAAACUUUAAAUGGGUAAGCUGCAAUUGUUGCUUUGGUGAACUUUUUUCAUUCAAUGGCAACAUCAAGUGGGCCAUCUUUGGUAAGCAGAACUGGCGAUGAGGGAUGAACCUAACGUUGGGUUAAGGUGCUUAACUUCUUGCUCAUGAGAUACCAGAAAGGGUGUUGGUUCAUUUUGACAGCAGGACGGUGGUCAUGGAAGUUGAAAUCCGCUAAGGAGUGUGUAACAACUCACCUGCCGAAUGGACUAGCCCCGAAAAUGGAUGGCGCUCAAGAGGGUGACUGAUACCCAACCACUGUUUCAAGAUUGAACAGUGUGUAGGAGGGCUUAGCCAUUUGUGUGGCAGCCAUUAGUGUAAACUUUGGUGAAACUGUGUCUAGUGCAGAUCUUGGUGGUAGUAGC